rnacentral:rRNA from 1 species
UACGUAGGGGGCAAGCGUUGUCCGGAUUUAUUGGGCGUAAAGAGCGUGUAGGCGGCUUUGCAAGUCCGUUGUGAAAACUCGAGGCUCAACCUCGAGACGCCGGUGGAAACUGCAAAGCUAGAGUCCGGAAGAGGAGAGUGGAAUUCCUGGUGUAGCGGUGAAAUGCGCAGAUAUCAGGAAGAACACCCGUGGCUAAGGCGGUUCUCUAGUACGGUACUGACGCUGAGACGCGAAAGCGUGGGGAGCGAACAGG